rnacentral:rRNA from 1 species
ACGAACGCUGGCGGCAUGCCUAACACAUGCAAGUCGUACGAAGGCUUCGGCCUUAGUGGCGCACGGGUGAGUAACACGUGGGAACCUGCCUUUCGGUUCGGGAUAACGUCUGGAAACGGACGCUAACACCGGAUACGCCCUUAGGGGGAAAGUUUACGCCGAGAGAGGGGCCCGCGUCCGAUUAGGUAGUUGGUGGGGUAACGGCCUACCAAGCCGACGAUCGGUAGCUGGUUUGAGAGGAUGAUCAGCCACACUGGGACUGAGACACGGCCCAGACUCCUACGGGAGGCAGCAGUGGGGAAUCUUAGACAAUGGGGGAAACCCUGAGCUAGCCAUGCCGCGUGAGCGAUGAAGGCCUUAGGGUUGUAAAGAUCUUUCAGAUGGGAAGAGAAUGACGGUACCAUCAGAAGAAGCCCCGGCUAACUCCGU